rnacentral:piRNA from 1 species
UCCUGGAACUUUGAUUGUGAUACGUG